GUAACAAGGUCUCCGUUGGUGAACCAGCGGAGGGAUCAUUACCGAGUUUACAACUCCCAAACCCCUGUGAACAUACCCAUCGUUGCCUCGGCGGUGCCCGCUCCGGCGGCCCGCCAGAGGACCCCCAAACUCUUGUUUUAUACAGCAUCUUCUGAGUAACACGAUUAAAUAAAUCAAAACUUUCAACAACGGAUCUCUUGGUUCUGGCAUCGAUGAAGAACGCAGCGAAAUGCGAUAAGUAAUGUGAAUUGCAGAAUUCAGUGAAUCAUCGAAUCUUUGAACGCACAUUGCGCCCGCCAGUAUUCUGGCGGGCAUGCCUGUUCGAGCGUCAUUUCAACCCUCAAGCCCCCGGGCUUGGUGUUGGGGAUCGGCGUGCCCUUCGCGGCGCGCCGUCCCCUAAAUCUAGUGGCGGUCUCGCUGCAGCUUCCUCUGCGUAGUAGCACACCUCGCACCGGAGAGCAGCGCGGCCACGCCGUUAAACCCCCCACUUCUGAAAGGUGACCUCGGAUCAGG
rnacentral:rRNA from 1 species